rnacentral:rRNA from 1 species
GACGAACGCUGGCGGCGUGCCUAAUACAUGCAAGUCGAACGAACCGCGACUAGGUGCUUGCACUUGGUCAAGGUGAGUGGCGAACGGGUGAGUAACACGUGGGUAACCUACCUCAUAGUGGGGGAUAACAGUCGGAAACGACUGCUAAUACCGCAUAGGACAUAGGAUCACAUGAUUCUGUGAGGAAAGGUGGCGCAAGCUAUCGCUAAGAGAUGGACCCGCGGUGCAUUAGCUAGUUGGUAGGGUAAAGGCCUACCAAGGCGAUGAUGCAUAGCCGACCUGAGAGGGUGAUAGGCCACAUUGGGACUGAGACACGGCCCAAACUCCUAAGGGAGGCAGCAGUAGGGAAUCUUACGCAAUGGACGCAAGUCUGACGGAGCAACGCCGCGUGAGUGAAGAAGGUCUUCGGAUCGUAAAGCUCUGUUGUUAGAGAAGAACAGCGCAUAGAGUAACUGUUAUGCGUGUGACGGUAUCUAACCAGAAAGCCACGGCUAACUACGUG